rnacentral:rRNA from 1 species
UUCGCAAUGCCCGAAAGGGUGACGAAGCGACGCCGCGUGUGGGAAGAAGGCCUUCGGGUUGUAAACCACUGUCGGGAGUUAAGAAAUGCAAGGAUAUGAAUAGUGUCUUUGCUUGACUAAGGCUCCGGAGGAAGCCACGGCUAACUCUGUGCCAGCAGCCGCGGUAAUACAGAGGCGGCAAGCGUUGUUCGGAAUUAUUGGGCGUAAAGAGCACGUAGGCGGCUAUGUAAGUCGGUUGUGAAAGCCUUCCGCUCAACGGGAGAACAGCAUCCGAUACUACAUGGCUUGAGUGCGGGAGGGGAGAGUGGAACUUCUGGUGGAGCGGUGAAAUGCGUAGAUAUCAGAAGGAACGCCGGCGGCGAAAGCGGCUCUCUGGCCCGUAACUGACGCUGAGUGUGCGAAAGCUAGGGGAGCAAACGGGAUUAGAUACCCCGGUAGUCCUAGCCGUAAACGAUGGGCACUAAGUAGAGGGGUUUU